GGAAGCUAAAGCCUAAAGCCCAACAUUUUCUUUGUAAGCGAACACAUAACAUACAUAUUUAUAUAUAUUUUCACAUUCUCUUCAAAUUUCUUUCUCAACGAGAUAUAAAACUUUGCUUAUAAUUGCUUAUAUUUAAUUAAUAAUUAAUCAAUAGUAACAAGGGCCUUACCAUGCCGCCUCGAGGGGUGCAACUCACUAUUCAAGAUCGUCAUGUGAUGAUGGAUAAUGGAAUACUACAAGUCACUCUUUCAAAUCCAGAAGGAAUUGUCACCAGCAUACGUUAUAAUGGCAUCGACAAUUUGCUUGAAGUUCUCAAUGAUGAAUCUAAUAGAGGGUAUUGGGACCUUGUAUGGAGCACACCAGGGACUACGGGAACAACUGGGAUUUUUGACGUGAUUAAAGGAACAAGUUUUGAGGUGAUAGUAGAAAGCGAAGAACAAGUGGAGCUCUCAUUCACACGAUCAUGGGAUCCCUCUCAGGAAGGCAAGCUUGUUCCCUUAAAGAUAGACAAAAGGUUUGUAAUGCUUCGUGGCUGCUCAGGCUUCUACUCCUAUGCCAUCUAUGAGCACUUGCAAGAAUGGCCUGGUUUCAACCUUGGGGAGACCAGAAUUGCUUUCAAACUUAGAAAAGACAAGUUUCAUUACAUGGCCGUAGCAGACAAUAGACAAAGGUACAUGCCCUUACCUGACGACCGUUUGUCGCCAAGAGGGCUGGCCUUGGCCUAUCCUGAGGCAGUGUUGCUUGUGAAUCCUGUUGAGCCUGAGUUCAAAGGAGAGGUUGAUGACAAGUAUCAAUAUUCAUCUGAAAACAAAGACAAUCGGGUGCAUGGCUGGAUUUGCAUGGAUCCAUCUGUGGGGUUCUGGAAAAUCACUCCUAGCAAUGAGUUUCGAACCGGUGGACCCCUCAAACAGAACUUGACCUCCCAUGUUGGUCCCACCACCCUCGCAGUGUUUCUCAGUGCACAUUAUUCUGGAGAAGAUUUGGUUCCAAAAUUUGAAGCCGGUGAGGCCUGGAAGAAAGUGUUUGGUCCAGUUUUUAUGUAUUUUAAUUCUGCCAUGGUUGGAGAUGAGCCGCUUUCGCUUUGGGAGGAUGCUAAAAAGCAGAUGGAGAUUGAAGUCCAAAGUUGGCCCUAUAGUUUCCCAGCCUCCGAAGAUUACCAAAAGUCAGAUCAACGAGGGAAUGUGAGUGGUAGACUACUAGUGAAAGACAGGUUUGUUAGCGAUGACUACAUAUCAGCAAAUGGGGCUUAUGUUGGAUUGGCCCCACCAGGUGAUGUUGGAUCAUGGCAAAGGGAAUGCAAGGAUUACCAAUUCUGGAGUAAAGCAGAUGAGAAUGGGUAUUUUUCAAUUAAUGAGAUACGAACUGGCAACUACAAUCUUUAUGCUUGGGUUCCUGGUUUUAUCGGUGAUUAUCGAUAUGAUGUUGUCAUUACCAUUACCUCUGGUUGUGAUAUUGAUACGGGUGAUCUUGUGUUUGAUCCUCCAAGAGAUGGCCCCACAUUGUGGGAAAUAGGAAUUCCUGAUCGUUCUGCUGCAGAGUUUUAUAUUCCUGAUCCAAAUCCUUUGUAUAUCAAUAAACUCUAUGUUAAUCAUCCUGACAGGUUAGCCAUCUUAUCAAAUUUCUUCCUCUACUUUUUUUUAAGGAAAAAAAAAUGUUUCAAGAUUUCAAUUCUUAUAUUACGUUAAGAGACAAUCUCUCGAAUAUUAAAUUAUUAGCCCAAUAAUCUUAAUUUUCCAAUUUCAAGAUUUUGGGGUUAAUCAUAACUAAUGGGUCGGAUCAUGCUUCUAUUUUUGGAAAUAAUUCAGGUUUAGGCAAUACGGAUUGUGGGAAAAAUAUGCUGAAUUAUAUCCCAACGGAGACUUAGUUUACACCGUUGGCGCUAGCGAUUAUACUAAAGAUUGGUUCUUUGCCCAGGUUACCAGGUUUAUUUCAUUUUCAUUAUUACUCUUAUCAGUCCCCAUCAAUUGUUAGAGAAGAAUAAAGUUUAAUCAUAUGCUAUUAGAGUACAAAUGCCUUAACCUAAUAGCAAGGUGAGACUUGCUAGGACAGAGCCAGUGCCAGAUUCUAAUCUCACUAAUAUAAUCUCCUAAAAUUAAUCUUUACCUGUCCCACAGAUGUUGACUUUUUACAAUGUACCUUCUUAAUCAAUCACAUUGCAGGAAAAAAGAUGACAAUACAUACCAGAGAACAACAUGGCAAAUUAAGUUCAAACUCGACAGUGUUGAUCAAAAUGGCAUUUAUAAAUUGCGAGUCGCACUUGCAUCUGCAAGCGUUUCUGAAUUGCAGGUACAUAGAAGUCAUUAUUUUUUUUUUAAUUAUUUAAACGUCACAUUAUUCCUAGUCUAAAAAAAUAGAUCACAUUGAUAUUAACUGUUAUGCACUGCAAGUCGUAUAGGUUGAAUCAUGUGAGGAUGGGCCACAUAGGUAGAACUUACCCUAAAAAUCGGCUCGCAAGGGAACUUAUUAACCUCUUACCAAAAUUAUUCCUUAGCAAUGUGGCAUCAUAAUAAUACCCUAUGCUUGAAGAAUCAACAUCCUUAUUAGUUACGGCUAGCACCUCACACAUUGGACCGCCCGUCCUUGCACAAUAGGUUUAGGCCAUUACUCCGUGAGCCACCACUCCAUGGGUCACCACUCCAAGUGUCGGGUAUUGCAAAAUGGGGCAAGCUCUGAUAUCAAUUGAUGUGAACUAUUGUGCACCAUGAGUCGCAGAGGUUGAACCAUGUGAAGAUAAGUCACCUAGGUAGAACUCACCCCCGAAAAUGGGCUUACAAGGGAAGGAUAUCUAAGGACUUAUUAACCUUUUACCAAAAUUGUUAUUUAGCGAUGUGGAAUCAUAACACAUGCACAAUUGAAUUUUAUCAUAAUGAUAUUAAAUUAUUUUGACAACUAUGAAAUCUAAAAUUUGCCUUCCAAUCGAAAUCAUAUGACAAAAAAAUAUAUUCAUCAAAGGAUUUGCAAAAUAAGAAAAUAUCACUUUAUGGCUACAUAUUAAAAUUCAAGCCCUUAACAAGAUGGAGCAAAAUUCCAGUUAUUCAUAAAAAAUUAUAUUAUUAUGCUAUUGAAUUUUAACUUAAUGGUAUUAAAGUCAUCCCUAAAUGUAUGAGGUCUCGAAUUCUGAGCUUCAGGAGGAAUCAAUUAUAUAAAAUAAAUACUGUAUUAUUACAAAUUAAAUUUGUUUUGAUGUGAAGGUUCGGGUUAACGACCCAAAAGCGAAUCUUGUAUUUUCAAGUGGAUUGAUAGGAAAGGAUAAUUCAAUAGCGAGACAUGGAAUUCAUGGACUCUACUGGCUAUAUAAUAUAGAUGUAGGAGGUGCUCGACUUGUUCAAGGAGAUAAUACGUUGUUUCUCACACAACCAAGAAGCACCAGCCCUUUUCAGGGGAUUAUGUAUGAUUACAUUCGUUUUGAAGGACCUUCAGCUUCAUCAAUUUAGUGCUAUUGGAUUUCUACUUAAUUCCCUUUCUUGCUUAUUUUUUAUUUUGAUAUUGAUUUUCUUUUAGUGUAUGCAUGUGAGCUAUCUAAUUAGUUAAUUUUGUUCUAAAUCAUAAAACUUUAUGCUAAAUCAAUUACUCAUUUCAUUUUUUUUAUUAUUGUAACUAUUCAUGUUUUAUAUUUAGAUUAUUUGCGGAAAUAAAUAUAUAUCAUGAAUUUUUUAAACUCAUGAUCCCAUCUGAGAUUGACAACAUAGUAAAUAGAUUACAUAGCUUAAACUAGCUAGGUUGGGGAAAUUAAG
rnacentral:misc_RNA from 1 species